rnacentral:rRNA from 1 species
AACGAACGCUGGCGGCAUGCCUAACACAUGCAAGUCGAACGAGACCUUCGGGUCUAGUGGCGCACGGGUGCGUAACGCGUGGGAAUCUGCCCUUGGGUUCGGAAUAACAGUUAGAAAUGACUGCUAAUACCGGAUAAUGUCUUCGGACCAAAGAUUUAUCGCCCAGGGAUGAGCCCGCGUAGGAUUAGCUAGUUGGUGAGGUAAAGGCUCACCAAGGCGACGAUCCUUAGCUGGUCUGAGAGGAUGAUCAGCCACACUGGGACUGAGACACGGCCCAGACUCCUACGGGAGGCAGCAGUGGGGAAUAUUGGACAAUGGGCACAAGCCUGAUCCAGCAAUGCCGCGUGAGUGAUGAAGGCCUUAGGGUUGUAAAGCUCUUUCACCCGGGGGAAGAUAAUGACGGUACCCGGAGAAGAAGCCCCGGCUAACUCCGUGCCAGCAGCCGCGGUAAU